UACGGAGGAGGCAAGCGUUAUCCGGAAUUAUUGGGCGUAAAGCGUCCGCAGGUGGCACUUCAAGUCUGUCGUCAAAGACUGGGGCUUAACCCUGGAAAGGCGGUGGAAACUGAAGCGCUAGAGUGCGGUAGGGGUAGAGGGAAUUCCCGGUGUAGCGGUGAAAUGCGCAGAUAUCAGGAGGAACACCAAUUGCGAAGGCAGCUCGCUGGGACGUUACUGACGCUGAGACGCGAAAGCGUGGGGAGCAAACAGG
rnacentral:rRNA from 1 species